rnacentral:rRNA from 1 species
CCUACGGGGGGCAGCAGUGAGGAAUAUUGGUCAAUGGACGAGAGUCUGAACCAGCCAAGUAGUGUGAAGGAUGACUGCCCUAUGGGUUGUAAACUUCUUUUAUAUGGGAAUAAAACAGGGUAUGCAUACCCUCUUGUAUGUACCAUAUGAAUAAGGAUCGGCUAACUCCGUGCCAGCAGCCGCGGUAAUACGGAGGAUCCGAGCGUUAUCCGGAUUUAUUGGGUUUAAAGGGAGCGUAGGUGGAUUGUUAAGUCAGUUGUGAAAGUUUGCGGCUCAACCGUGAAAUUGCAGUUGAAACUGGCAGUCUAGAGUGCAGUAGAGGUAGGCGGAAUGCGUGGUGUAGCGGUGAAAUGCUUAGAUAUCACGCAGAACUCCGAUUGCGAAGGCAGCUCACUGGACUGCAACUGACACUGAGGCUCGAAAGUGUGGGUAGCAAACAGGAUUAGAUACCCGGGUAGUC